rnacentral:tRNA from 1 species
UCUGGUUUAACAUAUUUAAUGUGAAGAGUUGUAAACUCUUUUAAGGCCUAGCCAACCAGGU